UCUGGGAACUGCAAUGAUUUGUUACUAGUGCUUGAAUGCUUUGUAAAUCCAGUCUCUGCUUUUUGUAGGUAUGCCCUAGAGGUCAAAGAACCGAUGACAAUAAAAUCUGCCGGGAAUGCGUGGGAUCUCCGGACCGCUAUGACUGGCUGUACCUUGGCUUCAUGGCCAUGCUUCCCCUGGUUUUACACUGGUUCUUUAUUGAAUGGUAUUCAGGAAAAAAGAGUUCCAGCGCGUUGUUGCAGCAUGUCACUGCCUUGUUCGAGUGCAGUGUGGCAGCGAUUGUUACGCUGCUGGUCAGCGACCCCGUCGGCUCCCUGCAUAUCCGCUCCUGCAAGGUGAAGAAGCUUUCGGACUGGUACACGAUGCUUUACAAUCCAAGUCCUGACUACAUCACCACAGUGCACUGCACUCACGAAGCCGUCUACCCCCUGUACACCAUCGUGUUUAUAUAUUACGCCUUCUGUCUUGUGUUAAUGAUGCUACUUCGGCCUCUUCUGGUUAAGAAAAUUGCCUGUGGUUUAGGAAAGUCUGAUCGAUUUAAAAGCAUUUAUGCAGCACUGUACUUCUUCCCUAUCCUCACCGUGCUUCAGGCCGUUGGCGGAGGCCUGCUCUAUUAUGCCUUCCCUUACAUCAUACUGGUGUUGUCUUUGGUUACGCUGGCUGUGUACAUGUCUGCUUCUGAAGUGGAGUCUUUCAAGGACCUUCUUGUCAGGAAGAAAAGGCUCGUUGUCCUCUUCAGCCACUGGUUACUUCAUGCCUAUGGAAUCAUCUCCAUUUCCAAACUGGAUAAGCUUGAGCAGGACCUCCCGCUGCUUGCCUUGGUACCUGCGCCUGCCCUCUUCUACUUGCUGACAGCGAAGUACACCGAGCCGUCACGCAUACUCUCCGAAGGUGGAAAUGGACAUUAAAAGGAGCCCAUGCCAACAAUGCUGAUCUAAUGAUCUGGAUUAAGCAGUUUUAGUGCUUGUUACGCUUUGGAAACUUCUGUUUUGAAAGAAGUUAUUGAUGUGCAAGCCUUCUCAGUGAAACACCCCUGAGUGAGACCGUGUGCUAUUAAAAAGCUGCACUUUGCAUUCUUUCUGUCAGCAAGCCCCUUGCUGGGGGGGAGCCUGGGAAGCAUCUGUUGACCACGCAUGGGUGUAGCCACCUCUGCACUUUUCAGCACAGCCCCUGUAGCUUCCUCCUGUGAGAGUGCUUGUGCCCGUUGCCUCCGCCUGUCAGCGGUGCCAACAGCUCGCAUCUCUUGCUGCGUGGCCGCAGCUGUACCUGUACUACAGCAACAGGCGUGGAGUUUGGCGGCUGGGAAAGGAACAGCUCUUUAUGCGGUAUCAGCACUGCGAUGAUAGGAACUGCUGGAAUGACUGAAGAACAAAACCAGCACAGGUAUAAUAAAAAGACCUGGAGAUGAUGCCUUAUCUUCUUCAAGAGAUGAUGCCAUUAUCUCUGCUCUACCGUCAUCAAAGUCUUUCUUUAUGUGAACACCUCAGUAAGAAUUGCUAAAACAUCCGAGGUUGUUCAGAAGUGAGGUUGUGGCCUUGCUGAAGCCAACUAUCCACUGCCAGACUCUAGUCCUCUCGCUGUGCUGUACAGGAAGAUACCCAAAGUGUGCAUCCUGCACGUUCCUCAUCAGCGACGCAGUGCUACAGAGGGUCUAGAAGAUGCAGAGCAGUGCUAAAGGUCUAAACACAGAAGGAAGAGUAACAGGAAGAUCUUCGCAAAUUAAACUCUUCCUACUGUAUGGAUCAUUGGCUGUAGCAGUGCAAAUAGCAGUGUGUAUUGCUAUGUUUAACCAUGACAGUAAUGCCUUUUUUAUUCUAUCAAUCACCUAUCAACACUGCUAAGGACAGAGCCUGCCAACAGCUCAGACUUGGAGCCAGGCUGCCUUGAGGCAGCACUCUCCUCUUUCUCCAUAAAAGGUUGGAUUUCUUUAUACCUGAAUCACCUUUCCAACAGCUUUUUUCUGUGAAAUGCCAAGUGACAGGUUCACUGCUUUUAAAAACAGUGUGCAAACAAACUAGGUUUUGCAUGCAGAAGAAUUUAUUUAGAGAUUAAGGAAGUAAUUGAUCUCCUUAGGGAAACCAAAUAAAUUCUGUCUGCUGCUACAUACAAACUAAUUUACAGACACAUGAAUUCAGAUGACAGUUCUACAAGUAUGGUUUUAAAACUCGUGUUAAAAAAAGUUACAGGUGUAUUUUUCUUUAAAAUGUCCUAAACACAGUUUUGUGUCUACAUUUGCACAGCGGUCACAUCAGUACCUGUGCAGCAGGCACGCGAGCAGCCAGGGCCACACCGUGCAGGAAAAGCUGUUUGCAAAGGAGCGGUACUGAGGACUGCGCGCUUUUAUGUGCGUUCCGUGUACGGACUCUGUGUAUUGGGUUUAAAUGUUGUCCUGUAUCUUGUUUUUAAAGAGAAAAGUAACAACAACUCCCAGCUGUAGCAAAGAGCACAUCUUUUGAUAGGUUUAGAGAAUCAUGUUGCAGAGCUGGCAGGAAGGCAGCGCACCCCAUAGACCAUGCUGGCACAACCAAACACUGACCCUCCUGCUGGGCUCCGGUGCUUCAGCCUUCAGCAAAGCCUGGAAUGUAAAAUACAAAUUAAUAAACUCUUUUUUAAUCACCUCCUCUCAGUAGCAUAACACCAUGUAAUGGCAAGCAAAGGGUUAGGUAGACGCAGCUAAAUAAAUGCACGCAGUUUUGAAUGACUGAGCAAUGUUUAUGCGCAGGCUCCUUGUGAAGAAACCUGCCCUGCACAACUGACACAGAAAAUAGUGCUGGCCUUCAGGUGAAGCAGGAUUCUCUUCUGCUCUACGUUCACCAUCCUUCCCCUCUCUGCCUAACUAACUUCCUUCCAGGGACAUUGCCUUCCUCUAAAAAUUCAUCAUUCCUCUCCCUGGUUUCCCGUCACGUUACCCAGACCCAAUGAUUUCAAAGCAGCCUGUAUGCCACAGCCUUUCAGCUUCAAUAUGUUUAAAACCCCACAUUCUGUAAGAAGGCAAUGGUCAUACAGUGACCAAACCCGUGACUCAUCACAAAUGAGACCUCUGUGAACCAGCAAGUAAAGAAGAUAUCUACAGGUUUGGGUUAAAUGGAGGCCCUGAAGCAAGUAAUCCGCAUGCACCUAGGGCCCCUGUGCAAUAUGAGCCCUCCCCAAAACAAGAGUAUAGAAUA